rnacentral:SRP_RNA from 2 species
GCUGGGUGCGGUGGCUCACGCCUGUAAUCCCAGCACUUUGGGAGGCUGAGGUGGGCGGAUCACCUGAGGUCAGGAGUUCGAGACCAGCCUGGCCAACAUGGUGAAACCCCAUCUCUA